UACGUAGGGUGCGAGCGUUGUCCGGAAUUAUUGGGCGUAAAGCGCUUGUAGGCGGUUUGUCGCGUCUGCUGUGAAAAUCCGGGGCUCAACCCCGGACUUGCAGUGGGUACGGGCAGACUAGAGUGUGGUAGGGGAGACUGGAAUUCCUGGUGUAGCGGUGAAAUGCGCAGAUAUCAGGAGGAACACCGGUGGCGAAGGCGGAUCUCUGGGCCAUUACUGACGCUGAGGAGCGAAAGCGUGGGGAGCGAACAGG
rnacentral:rRNA from 1 species